UGGGCCCGAAGGAGGAACCUGCGAGAGCAGAGAAACAAAGCCAAAAAUAGGGAAAAAUCACCCAAAAAAAAAUAGGGAACAACUGGGGGAAAAUCAGGGAAAAUAGAGGGGGUGAAUGGGAAGAGGAAAGGGAAGCACGAGGUUGAUUUUGGGGACCAUGAUGAAGAGGAGCACAGGGGGAUUUUGGGGGUGAUGAGGAGGGGAAAGGGAAGGUCGAGGUUGAUUUUGGGGGCGAUGAGGAGGAGGGGGAGAAGCACGAGGUUGAUUUUGGGGGAUAAUGAGGAGGGGAAAGGGAAACACGAGAUUAUUUUUGGGGAUGGUGAGGAGGAGGGGGAGCACGAGGUUAUAUUUGGGGGUGAUGAGGAGGGGGAGAAGCACGGGGUUAUUUUUGGGGAUAGUGAGGAGGGGGAGCACGAGUUGGAUUUGGGGGGUGAUGAUGAUGAGGAGGGGGAGCACGAGGCUGAUUUUGGGGAUGAUGAUGAGGAGGGGGAGCACGAGGUUGAUUUUGGUGAUGAUGAUGAGGAGGGAGAGCACGAGGUUGAUUUUGGGGGUGAUGAGGAGGGGAAAGGGAAACACGAGGUUGAUUUUGGGGGUGAUGAUGAGGAGGAGGGGAAGGUCGAGGUUGAUUUUGGGGGUGAUGAUGAGGAGGGAGAGCACGAGGUUAUUUUUGGGGGUGAUGAGGAGGGGGCUGCACCUCCCCGAACCUUUUGGAGCGCUCGGGGCCGUGCAGGGGGGGUUACAGCCGGGCCGAGCAGGGCAAAGAGAGAGAGAGAGACAGGGCCAGAUCCAUCUCAUCCCGGGAUGAGGCAUCGCAAGGUGUCCCCGCAGCCCCCCCGGCCUCCCCCGGCCCGCCCGCGCCGCUCCCACCCCACCGGCAGAGCCGUAAUAGAUCGGGGCAUUUAAGCAAUAAUGAAGUGAAUCGAUCUGCCCCGAGCCCGCAUUAAAGAGGACACAGCACUUGAUGUCCCCGCGCUAAUGGACAUCAAUUUGGAACUUAAAAGGCAUCAAAUGCAUCGAAACACGGGGAAGGAGAGCGGGGAGGCUUUUAUUAUUAUUUUUCUUCCCCUCUCACUUAUAUUUUAUUAUUGUUGUUGUUGUUGCUAUCAUUCUGAUUGAGGAAACAGCACUUAAAGAAGUCAUAUAUCACCGGGAGGGGGGGAAAAAACAAGGAAAAUCCUCCCCAGGCAGACUUUUCAUUAAGUGCGAGUGGCAUUAAAAAUGCAACCGUCUCCCUUCCAGCAUUUAAACACUUUUUAUAUCAUUUAACUCCGGCUCGGGGAGAGAGGGAGAGGCACAGGGAGCUGCGUGGGGGUGCGGCUGGGGCUGUGUGUGUAAAGUCAUCCCGAGCUGAUUUAGAAAAGAUAUCUCUGCGCGUGUGGGGCAGAGACAGAGACAAAUCGCUGUAGCUGAGUGACACGCAAACAGGAAUGUGGCAAAAAAAGGGGGGGGGGGGGUAGAAAAAAAAGGGAGGGAGGGGGGCAGAAAUGCGGUUUUGGGGGUUAAAAGUUUCGAGCUCGGGGCGGAGAGGGGGGGAAAAAAAUCUGGGAGCGGUGGGAAGUUUGGGAGCCUCUCACAUCGCCCAAGUUUUUCCCCCGCUGGAAGUUUUGGGCUCUAAAAUUGAACCUUCCUCCUGCUUCCCUCUCUCGCUCGCUCUCUCUCUCUCUCUCUCCCCGGCGCUAACAAAUAAGAAAAGGGAGGGGGAG